GGGGGUGUAGCUCAGUGGUAGGGCAUGUACUUAGCAUGUACAAGGCCUAGGGUUCAAUUCACAGCACCACCA
rnacentral:tRNA from 2 species